AUCGAGUUGAGUAGUGGACUUGAGGGCGAUUGUCCUCUUUUUCUUGACAUCUUCUUCUUGAUGUUGUUUCAUGCUUAGCUCGUGUAUCAUUAGCGAUCCUAGAAGCUCCUCUAAGAGUAAAAUAUUCAGAUCUUUAGCUUCUUGGAUUGCGAUCACUUUGGCCUCCCACAUCCUUGGUAAAGACCUAAGAAUCUUUCUCACA
rnacentral:lncRNA from 1 species